CUCCAAUAUUACCUAAAAUAGAACCAUUCUAUACAAUGUGGGGUGCGGGAUAUAAAGAGUACACAACAACAUGUUUGAAAUGUAACCGGAUUAUUUCAGAUGCAUCUUAAGGUGCCGAGACCAUCCAGGUAUGCAGUAUUUGUGUGUUAAAAAUAAAGACAAUAGUGCGGACAGGUUUAACCAUACACUAGGGUAACACAGUGUAAUUAACACCAAAUAAAUAUGGUAUGUACAAUAAAACACAAUCUGUGUAAAGUGUGCUUAAUCCCUUAAGACUGAGGCAGUUGUACAAGUUGUGAACAAAACGUUAACAAAACUUUGAAUUUGCGCUAUAUGUCUGUUCAGGCGUAAUUCGCCUCUUUCAUAUUAAUUGCCAUAUUAUUCACCCACACUUAUCAUAUAUCAUUUUGUUUAGGAGAAAUAGAGCUUUCAUGUC